rnacentral:rRNA from 1 species
GACGAACGCUGGCGGCGUGCUUAACACAUGCAAGUCGAACGGUAAGGCCCUUCGAGGUACACGAGUGGCGAACGGGUGAGUAACACGUGGGUGAUCUGCCCUGCACUUUGGGAUAAGCCUGGGAAACUGGGUCUAAUACCGGAUAGGACCACGGCCUGCAUGGGUUGUGGUGGAAAGCUUUUGCGGUGUGGGAUGGGCCCGCGGCCUAUCAGCUUGUUGGUGGGGUGAUGGCCUACCAAGGCGACGACGGGUAGCCGGCCUGAGAGGGUGUCCGGCCACACUGGGACUGAGAGACGGCCCAGACUCCUACGGGAGGCAGCAGUGGGGAAUAUUGCACAAUGGGCGCAAGCCUGAUGCAGCGACGCCGCGUGGGGGAUGACGGCCUUCGGGUUGUAAACCUCUUUCACCAGGGACGAAGCGCAAGUGACGGUACCUGGAGAAGAAGCACCGGCCAACUACGUGCCAGCCGCCGCGGUAA